rnacentral:rRNA from 1 species
AUUGAACGCUGGCGGCAGGCCUAACACAUGCAAGUCGAGCGAGCGGCGGACGGGUGAGUAAUGUAUGGGGACUGCCCGAUAGAGGGGGAUAACUACUGGAAACGGUAGCUAAUACCGCAUACUAUCGGAUAACCCAUAUGGGAUUAGCUAGUAGGUGAGGUAAUGGCUCACCUAGGCGACGAUCCCUAGCUGGUCUGAGAGGAUGAUCAGCCAAACUGGGACUGAGACACGGCCCAGACUCGGACGGAGGCAGCAGGGGGGAAUAUUUCACAAUGGGCGCAAGUCGGAUGCAGCCAUGCCGCGUGUAUGAAGAAGGCCCUAGGGUUGUAAAGUACUUUCAGUCGGGAGGCGUUACCGACAGAAGAGGCACCGGCUACCUCCGUGCCAGCGGCCGCGGUAAUUC